rnacentral:rRNA from 1 species
UACGGGGGGGGCAAGCGUUGUUCGGAAUUACUGGGCGUAAAGGGCUCGUAGGCGGCCAACUAAGUCAGACGUGAAAUCCCUCGGCUUAACCGGGGAACUGCGUCUGAUACUGGAUGGCUUGAGAUUGGGAGAGGGAUGCGGAAUUCCAGGUGUAGCGGUGAAAUGCGUAGAUAUCUGGAGGAACACCGGUGGCGAAGGCGACAUCCUGGACCGAUAUUGACGCUGAUGCGCGAAAGCCAGGGGAGCAAACGGG